rnacentral:rRNA from 1 species
UACGUAGGGGGCGAGCGUUGUCCGGAUUUAUUGGGCGUAAAAGGCUUGUAGGCGGCCACCGUGCGUCGUGCGUGAAAUCUCCCGGCUUAACUGCGGGCUUGCGGUCGAUACGGGCAUCACUGGAGUUCGGCAGGGGAGACUGGAAUUCCUGGUGUAGCGGUGAAAUGCGCAGAUAUCAGGAGGAACACCGGUGGCGAAGGCGGGUCUCUGGGCCGAUACUGACGCUGAGGAGCGAAAGCGUGGGGAGCGAACAGG